rnacentral:rRNA from 1 species
CGAUAUCGACGUAGUUUGAUCAUGGCUACAGAACGAACGCUGGCGGCAGGCUUAACACAUGCAAGUCGAACGCCCCGCAAGGGGAGUGGCAGACGGGUGAGUAACGCGUGGGAAUCUACCCAGUUCUACGGAACAACACAGGGAAACUUGUGCUAAUACCGUAUACGCCCCAAGGGGAAAGAUUUAUCGGAAUUGGAUGAGCCCGCGUUGGAUUAGCUAGUUGGUGAGGUAAUGGCUCACCAAGGCGACGAUCCAUAGCUGGUCUGAGAGGAUGAUCAGCCACACUGGGACUGAGACACGGCCCAGACUCCUACGGGAGGCAGCAGUGGGGAAUAUUGGACAAUGGGCGCAAGCCUGAUCCAGCCAUGCCGCGUGAGUGAUGAAGGCCUUAGGGUUGUAAAGCUCUUUCAGUGGGGAAGAUAAUGACGGUACCCACAGAAGAAGCCCCGGCUAACUUCGUG